GCGGAUAUAGUUUAAUGGUAAAACGUUAGCUUCCCAAGCUGGUGUUGCGGGUUCGAUCCCCGUUAUCCGCU
rnacentral:tRNA from 1 species